UUAGACACAACCCAGCUGCCCAGGGGAGCUGGCUCAGCCCUGCUCUGCGCCCGCAGUGCCUGAGGAGGGGAUCGGAGGCUCUGGAGGAGUGAGGAGGAGGACGUUAAUGGUGUGUUAGCCCGGAUGAUUAAUACAAGCGCCUGCAAACAACCCUCCAACGUUUCCACCCUCCGCUGCAAGAUGAAUCGCUGGAAAGCGCCGCUAAUCGCUAACAUACCUCGGGCCCAAAGCCCCUUCCUGCCCCGCCGAGCUGUGAUCGCCGCUGCCGUGCCCGGCCUGUCCUCUCUGGAGUCCCUGAGCAGAGCAGGGUCAGCCCUUGGGAUGGGGGUGAGGGCUCUGGGAGACAUCGUGCCGGGGAUGUGUCACCCACGGGCGCAGAGGCGAGCAGGGUGUGCUGCCCACUCCAGGGCCCCUCCCCGGGCUGGCGUUUGGGGUUGUGGUGAUGUACAGGACCCCAACCCCAGCGGGUUCCCCCAGCACUUUCGUGGCCAGGCUGGGACAGGGAAACGCAGGGCAGGUAUCCCUCUCCCCAUUGUAAAUACAUUUGUGUGCAUGGACAGUAUAA